AGCGGGGAGCACACAUUUUUGCAUAAGCGCAUAACCAUAAACAUAAAGAAAUUGAUUGGUCCACAAAUGUAUGCAUAAGAAAAUGAACCAAUUAAUUUCCUUAUGUUUAUUGUUAUGCACUUAUGCAAAAGUGUGUGCUCCCCGCUUAAAUGUCCAAAAUAUAAGCGAAAAUCAUUAGAAUUUAUAUGUUUUCAAGACUUCUAUAUACGAGGUGUAACUGAAUACAUGGAGCACACCAUCAGAUGCAACACAACAAUUCAAAACUCUUCAAAAAAUUUUGGACCAUUUUUUGAGCUUUCUUUUCAUUGUUAUACAAUGUUAAAGUUAGCUAAUCAGCCUCUGUCCGCAGCGGAAAGAAGGUACGGAGUGGAUCGGAGUAACAGCUUUCUACUAUAUAAGCAGUUACACCCUGUAUACUAGAGACUGCUAAUAGCGAUGUGACAGAUGAAGCCAGAGCAGACAUUUACAAUUGGAUAGAACAUCCUGUCAAUCAAUACUUAUUUUUGAAAAAAAGCUACAAUGUUAUUAAUAUAAAAGUUUUAUAUAUAUUUAAUAUAAAGUUACAUUAAAUUUGAAACCUUUAAUUAAUAUUGAA